rnacentral:hammerhead_ribozyme from 1 species
GCACUGCUGAGGAGUCUGAUAAAAUAGGACGAAACGGCUGUCCAGUGC